GUCUACUGAAUGGUGCUGGGCUGUAGGUCUCCUGAAUGGUGCUGGGCUGUAGGUCUACUGAAUGGUGCUGGGCUGUAGGUCUCCUGAAUGGUGCUGCGCUGUAGGUCUACUGAAUGGUUCUGUAGGUCUACUGAAUGGUGCUGGGCUGUUGGUCUACUGAAUGGUGAUGGGCUGUAGGUCUCCUGAAUGGUGCUGGGCUGUAGGUCUACUGAAUGGUGCUGGGCUGUAGGUCUCCUGAAUGGCGCUGGGCUGUAGGUCUACUGAAUAUCGCUGGGCUGUAGGUCUACUGAAUGGUGCUGGGCUGUAGGUCUACUGAAUGGUGCUGGGC
ensembl:lncRNA